rnacentral:rRNA from 1 species
GGGCACAUUGGACAUGGGCGCAGCCUGAUCAGCCAUGCCGCGUGAGUGAUGAAGGCCUUUAGGGUUGUAAAGCUCUUUCACCGGAGAAGAUAAUGACGGUAUCCUGGAGUAAGAAGCCCCGGGCUAACUUCGUGCCAGCAGCCGCGGGUAAUACCG